GGCGGACGGGUGAGUAACGCGUGAGCAACCUGUCCCAGUCAGGGGGAUAACGAGCCGAAAGGCUCCCUAAUACCGCAUGAGACCACAGCGCCACAUGGCGCAGGGGUCAAAGGAGAGAUCCGGACUGGGGUGGGCUCGCGUCUGAUUAGCUAGUUGGUGAGGUAAAGGCCCACCAAGGCGACGAUCAGUAGCCGACCUGAGAGGGUGAUCGGCCACAUUGGAACUGAGACACGGUCCAAACUCCUACGGGAGGCAGCAGUGGGGAAUAUUGGGCAAUGGGGGAAACCCUGACCCAGCAACGCCGCGUGAAGGAAGAAGGUCUUCGGAUCGUAGACUUCUAUCCUUGGUGAAGAUAAUGACGGUAGCCGAGAAGGAAGCCCCGGCUAACUACGUGCCAGCAGCCGCGGUAAUACGUAGGGGGCAAGCGUUGUCCGGAAUGAUUGGGCGUAAAGGGCGCGUAGGCGGCCUGGUAAGUCUGGAGUGAAAGUCCUGCUUUUAAGGUGGGAAUUGCUUUGGAUACUGCUGGGCUUGAGUGCAGGAGAGGUAAGUGGAAUUCC
rnacentral:rRNA from 1 species